CAGAGCAGACAGUCAGGGACUCUUCCCUAAGCCUAACUGGUGCCUCCCUCCCUGGCACUAUGGUCAGUGGGAGAAGCCCCUUGGCAGGUAAACUCAGGGCCACAGGGAGGGUCCCCCUGAUGACGUGGCCUUUGAAGGAUGAAUCAGGCAAAGCCUGAGGCAGAGCUGGCAUUGAUGAGGUAGGCUCUUUCCUCCUCUCCUCUAAUUCCCUGACUCUCCCCACUCCACAGCUGCUCCCUGGGUCCUGGCCAGGUGCCAAGAUUGGGAUAGAUGAGCCAUGUGACCCCCGAGGGGCUGUCAGCACCGCUGAUCCCCAAGAGCAUGUUAAACACUGGGGAGCAUGUCAUGCUUGCCCUGCCCAUGCUUGACCUGCCAAGCAGGUCAUCUGAGUCCAUGGUUCCUAUAGGGAGGAAUGGGCCUUCAGAGAUCCUAAUGAUGUUCCCCUUUUCCCUCCAGCAAACCAUCAGCCUAACUCUUCUUUGACGUCGCCAAGGCCUCUCACACCUGCUGGCUCAGCUCACCAGAGUCCUUUCCUGGCUUUCAUCUCUGGGUUCUGUGAUAACCACACGACUGAAAAGUCCAGUGGAGGCUGAAAACCCAACCUGAGCCUUGGAUGAAGAGGUGGGUGGCAGCCCUUUCUAAGACACUAGCUAACAUUUCCCCAGUAUGACCAUGUACUGGGGCAAGCUUUUCAGGUGGUGAUGGGGCGGCCAGGGUCCGUGAGGUUCCUGAUGCCACUCCAGGCUCUUGUAAUGUGAAAGCGGAGAUGCCCCAAGGCUGGGACAGCCGACCUCAGACACGACUAUCUCUGCAGCCCAGUCCCUGGUGACUGUCCCAACCACAAGAGCACAGAGGCUCUGACUUGUGGUGGAGGUCAUGUGGAAACAGCCCUGACUUUGGGAUCAGGAGGCACAGAAGAGAGCCUUGGCCCUGCUCUGCAGCCUGGAAUUGUAGACACUGCUCUGGGGUUCACCCCAAAGAUGCUCCUGCGACUCUGGCAAGGUUCCCUUGCAGCUGGGGGUUUCGGGGGAAGUUUUUGCUUUACCUGAUAAAAGAGAGAGACUUGGCUAUCAUUGCAGUUUCCCCCAUUCUUUUUCUUUCUCUUUUGAACAGAUACACGAGCAAGGGCAGCCAUAUGAGAACAUGAAUCAGGAAGAUGGAGGGAGGCUGAGAGAACAGCAGAGACUGAUGCCUGACGUGGUUGCACUCAACCUGUUCUUAACUGAUGAGUUUGGGCGAGUUGAGUAACCGAGGAAUUACCAUGCAGUCUGCGUCUCUCUUUUGUGUAUCAGUUAUCAUUAGGGGACAACUUCCCAGGUGGCUCAGUGGUAAAGAACCUGCCUGCCAGCGCAGGCACC